ACUUCUUGAGGUCUUGAAGAAGGUUUUUUUUUAUUUUUUAAAAAAAUGCCUCUGGUGUUCUGCUCAGCCUAAUGAACUCAUCCAAUUUACCAGACAUACAAAAGUGAAACGAAUCUGACGCACAAUCAGUUAAUCCUUUAUCUUCCUUGGCGGCAGCCUCGGAAACAGCGGGAGGACAGUCCCCCAGCCUGCAGUGGUGUUACGGAUCACAACGGAAGCAUAUUGUCAUCAGAUUAAUUUUCCAACCCUCCUACCCUAACCACAAAAUCCUGAGAGAACGAGUGUCAAAUACACUUAAUAAUUGCAUAAUUAUGACAUCUGUUACUCUCCAGCACCUCUUAGUGGAAAAUUAACUGAAGAAAUAGCAGGUUCAAAGAUGUGUUAACACUCUGAUAGCAGAUUUAAUUGAAAUAUGACGGGGGAGGAUAAUGGAGAUUAAAUUAAGCUCUCAGAUAAUCAUCUGACACAAAGAUAAUUGAGCCAGCCUCUGCCACGUUGAUGAACGCUUCAGAGAGGCUGUGCGGGUGGCAUUUCGAGUAUCUUAUCCUUCAGGCAAAAUGGAAUUCUCCUCCCCCCUCCUUCUUCUCCCUCUCUUGUCAUUCAACAUUUGUAUCCUCCAAAUCGAUAAUGUGAACAGCAGCAUAAUUGGAAAUAAAAGAUGAUCUGAAAUCCACAGGAAAUUAGGUUGAGGCGCGUGGAGGAAAUACAGUCUCAUCCUGGACACAAGGUAGAUUUUUAUGAGAUGUGCCCCUACUCUGCAGUUUCUCCAGGAGUGUUUUCCCAGUGUCUCUGUCCUCAAUGGAAAGAAAUGGCCGUAUGUGAGACCGGAAGGUGGUCCAUAAACAUGAGAAUGGAGGAGUCAAUAGGAGGCUUCCUCUGCAUUCCCUUACAACAAUCACUUUGAGCUCUUUCUCCUCUCCGCAGGAGCAUUAUCUUGCUUUAUAGGGCAAGUCCAGGAAGCAGUGUGUGACAAAGAAUGAGUACCCAGUGCUGGAGGGCAUGGAGCAAUCCAUCGGCAGCUCCCGGUGGUGAUGAGAUGGGUGUGUGUGGCCCAUAAAUCAACUGGACGCACUUCCCUUUGUUUGCACACUGCCACCGACACAGGCUUGCUAUGAAGAAGAAGAAAUUUUGCUCAGAGGAAACUAGAAAACCUGAACGUGUACACAAUGCUGACAUAUUUUGUUGCUUUCACCCCUCUUAAGAAUUUCUACCAUUCCUUUGAGAAGUUGAUUAUUUUUAAAACUGUGUAUCAUUUUGUCUUCUUGGGCAAAUUGCACAGUCAAUGAUAUGUUUCACCGAGUAUGUAAAUCCCUUUUACAUAUUUCAAAAUAAUAUCUAAUUAAAAUGUCAAGGUUAUAGCUCAUGAGGCUAGAGUGGACAGGGCUCCACCCCCUCCCUCAGCCUCUCAAAGUAACAUUUAAAGUAUGUCCUAUAAUUAGGAGCAAUUAUAAAUUCCAAUUAAAAAGAAACCUGCAUAACUCUGACAGUAUUUUUCUUUGAUGUUACUGGCUUUAAUUUAUGUGCUUGUUCCACCAAAUUGUCUUCACUUCCUCAGAUAUGUUCUCAGACAGAAAAGGCUUCCAAAACUGCAAAGAGAAAAACAGGUCAAAUCUGAGAAAAGUAGUGAAGUUCAUUAAAAAGGGUUAUUGCAUCUAUAACUUCUGGACUUGGUGCUCAUUGAUUAGAGAUUAAACAUCAUCCUUUGUACUACUCAGAUUGGGAUUUUUAAUUAGGAUGUCAUUAUUACACAGAUAUACUGAAUGCCAUAUUGAUUUUUGAGACCUUUUGAAAUAAUAGCACUGCUUAUGCAAAAUGAAAAUCAUAAUAGAUUAUUGACUUCUUCAGGAGUUUUGAUCCAAGGGUACCUCCC
rnacentral:lncRNA from 1 species